GCCUUCGUGAUGCAAUGGUCAGCACACUGAGCCGGUAUUUCAGAGGUCCGUGGUUCGAUCCCCGGCGAAGGCA
rnacentral:tRNA from 1 species